rnacentral:rRNA from 1 species
UACGUAGGAGGCAAGCGUUGUCCGGAAUUACUGGGUGUAAAGCGCGUGUAGGUGGUGGGCCAAGUCUGUGGUGAAAUCGCCCGGCUCAACUGGGCGAGGUCCGUGGAAACUGGUCGACUGGAGGACGGUAGAGGCGAGUGGAAUUCCCGGUGUAGUGGUGAAAUGCGUAGAUAUUACAAGGAACACCAAUGGCGAAGGCAGCUUGCUGGGAUUUUUCUGACGGUCAUGGACGAAAGCGUGGGGAGCGAACAGG